AGAUUGAACGCUGGCGGCAGGCCUAACACAUGCAAGUCGAGCGGUAGAGGGGUGCUUGCAUCUCUUGAGAGCGGCGGACGGGUGAGCAAUGCCUAGGAAUCUGCCUAGUGGUGGGGGAUAACGUUCGGAAACGGACGCUAAUACCGCAUACGUCCGUACGGGAGAAAGCGGGGGACCUUCGGGCCUCGCGCCAUUAGAUGAGCCUAGGUCGGAUUAGCUAGUUGGUGAGGUAAUGGCUCACCAAGGCGACGAUCCGUAACUGGUCUGAGAGGAUGAUCAGUCACACUGGAACUGAGACACGGUCCAGACUCCUACGGGAGGCAGCAAGGUGGGGGAAUAGUUGGAACAAGUGGGACGAAAGCCUGACUCCAGCCA
rnacentral:rRNA from 1 species